GAUCAUGGCUCAGGAUGAACGCUGGCGGCGUGCCUAACACAUGCAAGUAGAACGGAGUCGUUUUGGAAAUCUCUUCGGAGAUGGAAUUCUCGACUUAGUGGCGGACGGGUGAGUAACGCGUGAGCAAUCUGCCUUUAAGAGGGGGAUAACAGUCGGAAACGGCUGCUAAUACCGCAUAAAGCAUCAAAUUCGCAUGUUUUUGAUGCCAAAGGAGCAAUCCGCUUUUAG
rnacentral:rRNA from 1 species